AGUUGGCAACAUUGGAGCAGUCUUUAGAGCAGAGCAUGUUCGGGAGCCUGACAUUUUACGGACUUUACUUGUUAACACAGCUUAGAAACUGCGUUUUAGAUCAUGUGUGCAGGAGGUCCAGGAGAACCACUUUACAGAGCAAUUCCAUCUCCACCGUUUGUGACAUGGGUAGGCCCAAGGCCCCCCUCAGCAUCCGUUUAUGGUACACUUAAGGCCAUUGCAAAAUGAUACAAGAAUCAUAGGCUACAGUUGGUAAAAUACAUGUAAUAGCUGUUUGUAUAUCCGUAUUUGUAAUUUUGUGGUUCAAACCUUCAAAACUACACCUGUACUCACAAUCGGGGCACCAGCACCAAGACGGACAUCUGUGUGGUUUGUUUCCGUCGCGACCACUUCCACCCAGGUGUCAGAGAGCCUGCUGGGGUUCUACAGGCCAGAGUGAGAGCUGCUGGACCGAGGAAACAUGGGCAUUGUCUUAAUGCUCCAGCCAAUCAUCACAUAGAGGUCAAAAGUCACUGCCAAAAGCCCGCCCCUCUGUGUGGACACCACCCACCUGCUGUUCAACCCCAGGAGGGGUGACGUGAAACUGGCCCACCUGGCCAUGUAUUACCCUUUCUAUGAGCAUAUUAUAUAAACUACAACGCGAAAGUGUGCGCAACAUUGACAACAGUGUACGGUUAAAUCUCUCCACCAGUAAUGGCCGUCAUAGUGAAUGGACCAAGGCGCAGCGGGUACGUGAAUGCUCAUGUUUAUUUUACAAAAUAAAACACGAAAACAAUGAACGGAUGACAAACAGUCUUGCAGGCAACACACAGCUAUGCAAAGAACAACCUCCCACAAUUCCCAUGACAAA